GCAAAGUAGUUUUAGUUAGAAUAUUAGGUUGUGGUCCUAUUGGAGGAUAAAGUAUCCCUUUGUUGA
rnacentral:tRNA from 1 species